rnacentral:rRNA from 1 species
GACGGAAACUGCGAACGGCUCAUUAAAUCAGUUGCGAUCUACUCGGCGUUCCGCGCCGCCGGAUAACCGUAGUAAUUCUAGGGCUAAUACGUGCGAAGCGCCCGAAGCCGCGAGGCGACGGGCGUUCUCGCCGGAUGUAGGAACCGACCCGGGGACCGCCGGGGCAACCCGGCGCCCCCGAGACGGGGCGAACCACGGUGAAAUGACGGAUCGUCGGCCCCGCGCCGGCGACUCGCCGAAUGAGUUUCUGACCUAUCAACUCGAGACGGCGGGGUAGAGGCCCGCCGCGGUAACGACGGGUAACGGGGAAUCAGGGUUCGAUUCCGGAGAGGGAGCCCCGAGAAACGGCUACCACUUCCAAGGAAGGCAGCAGGCGCGCAACUUACCCUAAUCUCGAUUCGAGGAGGUAGUGACAAGAAAUACCGAUGCGGGACCCUACGGGUGCCGCGUUCGGAAUGAGUACGAUUCGAACCACCUAACGAGGAACGAUCGGAGGGCAAGUCUGGUGCCAGCAGCCGCGGUAAUUCCAGCUCCAAUAGCGUACGUUAAAGUUGCUGCAGUUAAAAAG